CGCAUCUGUGCAUGCAGCAUAUCAAUAAGCGGAGGAAAAGAGGGCUAUUACCUACGCUUAGGAUGUUGAAGAUGUAGCACAUCAUACACGCAUGACACACUGCAUAUCGAUAAGCGGAGGAAAAGGCUGCUGAACUGAACGACCGCUACCUACGCUUAGGAUGUUGACACACGCGCGUGCUCGGCUCUAUACAUGACUCUGCGCAUAUCAAUAAGCGGAGGAAAAGUACCUACGCUUAGGAUGUUGAAGAUGAGCACAUCAUACACGCAUGACACACUGCAUAUUCAAUAAGCGGAGGAAAAGGCGGCGGAGAGUAUUGGUGUGGGCGUACCUACGCUUAGGAUGUUGAAGAUGUAGCACAUCAUACACGCAUGACACACUGCAUAUCAAUAAGCGGAGGAAAGAGACUGCGGAACUGAACGACCGCUACCUACGCUUAGGAUGUUGACGAGACUGUCGAUCUCAUCUAUACAUGACUCUGUGCAUAUCAAUAAGCGGAGGAAAAGUCAAUUACCUACGCUUAGGAUGUUGAAGAUGUAGCACAUCAUACACGCAUGACACACCGCAUAUCAAUAAGCGGAGGAAAAGGCUGCGUAACUGAACGACCGCUACCUACGCUUAGGAUGUUGAAGAUGUAGCACAUCAUACACGCAUGACACACUGCAUAUCAAUAAGCGGAGGAAAAGGAUGUUGUACCUACGCUUAGGAUGUUGAAGAUGUAGCACAUCAU
rnacentral:rRNA from 1 species